UGGGGAAUAUUGCGCAAUGGGGGGAACCCUGACGCAGCAACGCCGUGUGAAGGAUGAAGGCUUUCGGGUUGUAAACUUCUUUGAUGAGGGACGAAAGAAAUGACGGUACCUCAAAACAAGCCACGGCUAACUACGUGCCAGCAGCCGCGGUAAUACGUAGGUGGCGAGCGUUGUCCGGAAUUACUGGGUGUAAAGGGCGUGUAGGCGGGGAUGCAAGUCAGAUGUGAAAUGCCGGGGCUUAACUCCGGAGCUGCAUCUGAAACUGUGUUUCUUGAGUGUCGGAGAGGAAAGCGGAAUUCCCAGUGUAGCGGUGAAAUGCGUAGAUAUUGGGAGGAACACCAGUGGCGAAGGCGGCUUUCUGGACGAUAACUGACGCUGAGGCGCGAAAGCGUGGGGAGCAAACAGGAUUAGAUACCCUGGUAGUCCACGCUGUAAACGAUGGAUACUAGGUGUAGGAGGUAUCGACCCCUUUCUGUGCCGGAGUUAACACAAUAAGUAUCCCACCU
rnacentral:rRNA from 1 species